CGCGGGGUAUUGUGGGAGCUGUAGUUCAAGUCAACGCCACGGAAAAGCCCCGAGCUCUCGCCUUUGUGGAUACCCCGGUGGCUUAGUGGUUAAGAGCUACCGCUGCUAAUCAGGAGGCCGGCAGUCUGAAUCCACCUGGCGCUCCUUGGAAACUAUACGGGAUGGUUCUACUCCCUCCUAUAGGGUCGCUAUGAGUCGGAAUCCACUCUACGUCAACGGUUUUGGUUGUUUUUUCUUCCGUUUCUGGAGCCCUGGUGGCGCAGUGGUGAAGAGCUCAGCUGCUAACCAAAAGGCAGAAAAAAGUGGAACAAAACCGGAUCCUGGCAAAUAGGGAAUGCCCUGACCGUCUUCCCGCAGUAGUUGGGGCGGCUUUGGCUUUCUGGGGUCGAUUGGACGAACAUCCCGGGCCCUGCGACUAUCAGCCCAGCUGUGCGCGUCCCCGCGCUGUCACCGCUCUGGCAUACCUGAGUCCAGCGGAGGGGCUGGCCUACUGUCCCUUUCACAGGUGCACCUGUGCACACCAGGUAGACCUAUGUACCUGGAGGGGCCCUCAGGGCAGAGAGGCAACCAACGGUCCGCCAUGCCAGUGGCUGCCGAGCUCUGGCAAUGCCGGCCCAGGUGGGUCUCCGCUGCCCCGGGGCCAGGUGGCUGGUGCGAUUCUAACUUUCAGGUACUGUCUAACAUGCCUACUGCAAAGUGCAGAAAUCCUACGUGCCUCCGGCUUAAAAACAUGGCCAGCCCACUAGGCCCUCUCCUACCCGGCAGAAGUCACCAAGCCCUGACUUUUCACAUCGCACACUGGUCUUGCCUUUGAAUUUCAUUCGUACCCAAAGGGUGUCAAUUUUGUUACAGUUUUGGAAGAAUCAGCUUUUGGUUUCAUUGACCGAAGAAGAAUUGAUGCCUUUGAAUUAUGGUGUUGGUGAAGAAUAUUGACUAUACAAUGGACUGCCAGAAGAAGAUACAAAUUAGCCUUGGAAGAAGUACAGCUGGAAGGCUCCUUUGAAGCGAGGAUGGUGAGACUUCCUCUUGCUUACUUCGGACGUGUUAUGAGGAGAGACCAGUCUCUGGAGCAUUCUUCAGAGCUUAGAAUUCCAUCUGGGGCUGCUUUCUUUUGGUCUGAAAUGUAUUCUUUAGAAUUUGCUUCAGUGAAAAUCUGUUGCUGCCAACUCUCUGGAUUUGUCUGCCUGAAAAUAUCUCAUUCUGUCUUUGUUUUUGGAAGACUAUUACUGCUGGGUAUGGAAUUCUAGAUUUUUCCUCAACACAUUGAAGGUAUUCUGCUGCCUUCUGGCUUUUGUAUCUGGUAAUGAAGUUAUUUUCAGGGUAGAUUUUGAUCUUUUAGAGGAAAUCUUCACCCACUCCCUUUCCUUUAGCUGUUUUUAAGAGCCUUCUCUCUGUCUUUGCUAUUCUGCAGUUCACUAUGAUGUGUGUAGGUGCAAAUUUCUAUUUAUGUAUCCUGCUUGCUUGGGCCUCAUUGACUUCCUGGGACUCUGCAAAUUGAUUUCUUCAUCUUUUUUGAAAAGUAUUUCAGCAUAUGGCUUCAGAUAUUGCCUCUGGUGUGUUUUCUCUGUCUUCUCUCAUUGUAGAUGUCAGUCAGAUGUGGUUAGGUGUUCUCAUUCUGCCCUCCAUAUCUCCACAUGUGUUUUAUGUUUUCUUUUUAUCUGUAAUAUAAUUAGAAUAAUUUCUUCAAAAUUUCAUUGAGUUUACUAAUUCUUUCUUCAGUUAUGCUUAAUCUGUGAUUAAAUUCAUUCAUCGAGUUUACAUUUUUAUUUUAUUCUAGAACUUUUAUUUGGUUCUUUUCCAAAAAUUCAUGGUCCUUUUUUUAUUUUCUUUUGCUCUUUAGUAUCAAUCUCUUCUUACACUUCUUAAAAUAUUAAGUAUAUUUUUAUAUUUGUUGUUGUCGUCGGGUGCCAUUGAGUCGAUUCUGACUUAUAACAAUCCCAUGUGAUACAGUAGAACUGCCCCACAGGAUUUUCUAGGCUGUAAUCUUCAUGGGAGCAGAUCACUAGGUCUUCCUCCCAUAGAGAUGCUGAAUGGGUUCAAACCACCAACUUUUUGGUUGGCAGCCAAGUGCUUAACUAUUGUGCCCCUAGGGCUCCUUGCUAAUUCUAUCCAUCACUUCCAGUCUUUGUGAACAAGUAAUACUGGUGGAAGACAUGAUGUAUUUGAGAUGAUUCUAGAUGGCACGUGGACAUGGCAUGAAAUAAACAUGACUUACCAAGUAGACAUUUAUUUAUUCUUCUUUUUUCUCUUUGAGUGAUUGUGACAACCAGAGGGUCUCCGUUGGAUGUUAUCAUGUCAUUGAGACCCCUCGAGCCCUUAUUCAUCUCCUUUCAUGGAGCUCUUAGGGAGACCUGGUAUCGAGCUAACAUGUAAUCAUUUUUUUGUUGUUGUUGUUGCUUUCAUUGUAUUUAUUUUGAUUAUUGAUUUAUUGUAUUGCAAGUGAUACUGGUUUUUCAUCUGAGGAAGUAAUAUGUACUUCCCUUUUGAAGUAAAUUUAUUUAAACCAAAACUUUUGGCUUAGGAUGAUAUAGUUUGAAACUGUAGUUGUAACUGACAGCACUGGUGGUGUUUCCAUAUGGCAGAGUCAGUGAAGGUGUUAAAAACUAGGGCAAGGGUAUGGCUGAAUUCUGUGAAGGUGUUCUCUUAGGAGUGCCAUCAGUCGCCGUCGAGUUGACUCUGACUUAUGGUGACCUUAUGUAUAACAGAGGAGACCCUGGUGGUGUAGUGGUUAAGUGCUAUGGCAGCUAACCAAAAGGUCAGCAGUUUGAAUCUGCCAGACGCUCCUUGGAAACUCUAUAGGGUGGUUCUACUCUGUCCUAUAGGGUCGCUAUAAGUCAGAAUCGACUCAACGGCAGUGAGUUAUGUAUAACAGAACGAAAUGUUGCCUGGUCCUGUGUCAUCUUCAUAACUAUUGGUAUGUUUGAGCCCAUUGUUGUGGCCAUUGUGUGGUGCCUUCCAGCCUAGGGGACUCAUGUUCCAGUGCUAUACUGGACAGUAUUCUGCUGUGAUUCAUAAGAUCGUCAUUGGCUAAUUUUUGGAAGUUGGUCACCACAUCUUUCUUCCUAGUCUUUCUUAGUUUGGAAGUGCUGCCGAAACCUGUUCACCAUGGGUGAUCCUGCUGGUAUUUGAAGUACCGGUGGCAUAGAUUCCAGCAUCAUAGCAACGUGCAAACCGCCGCAGUAUGACAAACUGACAGAUGGGUGGAUGGGUGGUGGCUCGUAGGAAUAAAGUUUGGGACAUUCAGCCCUAAGGAAAGACAGGGAGCAAAAGGGUAGGAGGCUGUGUUCACUUUGAAAUGGUACAUCGUUACGUAAUUUGAAAAGGGGAAACACAAGGAAAUGUUGCUGAAUCAGUCUAAUAUCGAGUAGCUUCUAAAAAAAAAAUUUUUUUUUUUUUUUUCUCAUUAGGGAUAAAUCUCAGGAAGAAGUGUAUAGAAUAUCUGCAGAUUCUGGUUACAUGCUUUGUAUAGAAUAGUCACUGGGGUCUGGGUACCUAGAAUGAACCAGAGUAUUUCUCUGUGAAAAGAUGAGAGGUUACACCUUUGUCUGGUUCAGAUCCAUAAAAAGGCAGUAUACUGAACUGUGUCUUGGGGAGCACUGGCGUGUAAUUGAGAGACUCACCAGUGUAAAGCUUGAUCUAACGAAUGAAAGAAUAGUCAGCAAAACAUGUGGCUACCUAGAUAUAAGCCUUUCAAAGAAAUAAUUUCUGAACACAUUCAGUCCUUUGAAUAGUUCUAGGAUUUCAUGAAAUAUAAUGUUCGUUGCUUGGAUAAUUAACUAUCCCGUGAAACAGAUUUCCCAAACCAGCCAGCUUGGCAUUCAGACACUUUUUAUUUGGUUUACAUAGUGUAUCUUGGCAUACAGUGUUUUAAAUGUGAAUUCAUUGUCAGUUUUUGAACCUUAGGGGACUGCAUGUAAAAAUAGGGAUUUCUGGCUAGAAAAUUAGGAGAUCUCGCAAUGCCGGGUUCAAAUCUUUCUUGGCAAAAAUCCCCUCCAGUUGUAUGACUAGUUGCCAUCGAGUCGGCUCCAACACAUAGCGACUGCAUGUAUAUCAGAGUAGAGCUGCGCUCCACAGAGUUUUAUUGAGUUUUUGGGGGUAAAUCGCCAGGCCUUUCUUCCAAGGCACCUCUGGGUGGACUUGAACCUCUAACCUUUUGGUUAGCAGCUGAGCACAUUAACCUUUUGCACCACUCAGGGACUUAUUUUGCAGGUGUCUGCACUUCAUAGCACUUCCUACUGACACCAGCCACUGAAGACAAGUGUCUUUUAUCACAUAUUGUUGUUCUACAGCUGGCCCUUUUCACUCAUCUUCCGUACUUCUGUGGCCUGGUUGGCAAUUGCGUUUUUUAAUCCUGCUGUAGCGAUUUCUGGAGCCCUGGUGGUGUAGUGGUUAAGAGAUUGGCUGCUAACCAAAAGGUUGGCAGUUUGAAUCCACCAGCCACUCCUUGGAAGCCCUGUAGGCAGUUCUACUCUGUCCUAUACGGUCGCUAUGAGUUGUACCGACUCAACGGCAUUGGGCUUUUUUUUUUUUUUUUAA